rnacentral:pre_miRNA from 1 species
AGCCUUCUGUAUCCGUACUGAGAUCAGACCACAAGGGCUGAUCAGACUCCCAAGAUAAGUGAAGCA